rnacentral:rRNA from 1 species
UACGGAGGUGCAAGCGUUAUCCGGAUUCACUGGGUUUAAAGGGUGCGUAGGAGGGCAGGGAAGUCCGUGGUGAAAUCCUAGAGCUUAACUCUAGAACUGCCGUGGAUACUCUCUGUCUUGAAUCCCGUGGAGAUGAGCGGAAUAUGUCAUGUAGCGGUGAAAAUGCUUAGAUAUGACAUAGAACACCAAUUGCGAAGGCAGCUCGUUACACGAAGAUUGACUCUGAGGCACGAAAGCGUGGGGAUCAAACAGG